AUGCUUGUCCAUGCCACAAACAUUUUCUUGCCGCACCAUCAUGCACGGCCCUCUCCUUCUCCCACUCAUUUCCCCUCACCUGCCAAUUCCUCUUUGGCACAGUUGGUUGUUCAUCCCUCCACCUCUCCACUUUGCUUGUCGUCGUCAUCCAAUCCAACAGAUUGUUAUGAGCUUGAGCCAUUGUUCUUCUUCAACUUCUUGGUGGGGGUUUUUGAGCUCUGUAACGACAAGUUACCACUUCGGUUUUCCAUUCAAUUUCAACCAACAAUGGGACAACCUGAAUGGCUUGCCCUUGUUUUGGUUGUACAAAUUGGAUCCAUGCUUGUGGCCAACCAAGAUUCACACAACACAUCUUCAUGGCUUGUGAAUGUCGGACCUCUUGCCUUUGCUACCUUCUUUUUUUAG
rnacentral:rRNA from 1 species